GUUGGACGAACCGCUGGUGUACCGGUUGUUUCGCCAGAAGCACCGCCGGGUAGCUAUGUUCGGAUGGGAUAAGCGCUGAAAGCAUCUAAGCACGAAGCCCACUCCAAGAUAAGAUCUCCCACCGGGUCAACCGGGUAAGACCCCAGAGAGACCAUCUGGUUGAUAGGCCGCAGGUGUAAGAGAGGCAACUCUUUGAGCUGAGCGGUACUAAUCGGUCGAGGGCUUGACCUU
rnacentral:rRNA from 1 species